UACGAAGGGGGCUAGCGUUGUUCGGAAUUACUGGGCGUAAAGCGCGCGCAGGUGGUCUUUCAAGUCAGUGGUGAAAGCCCGGAGCUCAACUCCGGAAAUGCCAUUGAAACUGUGAGACUUGAGGACGAGAGAGGUGAGUGGAAUUCCCAGUGUAGAGGUGAAAUUCGUAGAUAUUGGGAAGAACACCGGUGGCGAAGGCGGCUCACUGGCUCGUAUCUGACGCUCAGACGCGACAGCGUGGGGAUCAAACAGG
rnacentral:rRNA from 1 species